GUCCACGCAGUAAACGAUGAAUACUAGCUGUAUGCGAUAUACUGUAUGUGGCAAAGCGAAAGCGUUAAGUAUUCCACCUGGGGAGUACGUUCGCAAGAAUGAAACUCAAAGGAAUUGACGGGGGCCCCGCACAAGCGGAGGAACAUGUGGUUUAAUUCGAUGAUACGCGAGGAACCUUACCCGGGCUUGAAAUGCAUCUGACCGAUCUGGAAACAGAUUUUCUAGCAAUAGCAGAUGUGUAGGUGCUGCAUGGUUGUCGU
rnacentral:rRNA from 1 species